GCCUCGGUAUUGGCGAUUUUAACUCCUCAAAGGUGGCCCUCUCGCGUCUGUCUCUCAUCCCCAAACUUGACUCUGCCGGGUUACGCUUGCUCAACUCGGAAACCUCCUUCAAGGCCCAACUCACCACCUACGGCGUUCCCCUCGUUACCAAACGCCUCCCUUUCUGCAUUGUCACGGACCGCAAGUACCGGUUCCCACCGUACCGGUUUGGUGUUCCUGUGGCAACAUUGUCGAGCCCCGGUCCGCUGAGCGGCGCCAAGUGCCGGCCGUGCACUCGAGUGUGUGAAGGGAGCUGCGUUGCAGGUGUAAUGCCAUUGCUUAAUAAGGGUUGGAGCUGGACUAAUUGGGAA
rnacentral:misc_RNA from 1 species